rfam:Homo sapiens chromosome 9, GRCh38 reference primary assembly.
GCCGGGCAUGGUGAUGCAUGCCUGUAGUCCCAGCUACUCGGGAGGCUGGGGCGGGAGGAUCACUUGAGCCUGGGAGGUCAAGGCUGCAGUGAGCCAUGAUUGCACCACUGCACUCCAGCCCGGGUGACAGAGCAAGACCCUGUCUCCA